rnacentral:other from 1 species
UACUCCCUGCGCUGUUGGUGUAAGCCUUAGGUGUUUUGAGCCAACACCUUUUUUACGGGAGUCCGGACGUCGCAGAUGCACGCACAUGCCACGCCAACACUUGUUGGAAGUGGACUUGCAAGCAGUCUGCGCAGGACACCCACCUGCGAGAGCAGGUUCAAAACGGAAGGUUUCACGGCAGGUGCGGGGUAGCC